GACGAACGCUGGCGGCGUGCUUAACACAUGCAAGUCGAACGGAAAGGCCCUGCUUUUGUGGGGUGCUCGAGUGGCGAACGGGUGAGUAACACGUGAGUAACCUGCCCUUGACUUUGGGAUAACUUCAGGAAACUGGGGCUAAUACCGGAUAGGAGCUCCUGCUGCAUGGUGGGGGUUGGAAAGUUUCGGCGGUUGGGGAUGGACUCGCGGCUUAUCAGCUUGUUGGUGGGGUAGUGGCUUACCAAGGCUUUGACGGGUAGCCGGCCCGAGAGGGUGACCGGCCACAUUGGGACUGAGAGACGGCCCAGACUCCUACGGGAGGCAGCAGUGGGGAAUAUUGCACAAUGGGCGGAAGCCUGAUGCAGCAACGCCGCGUGCGGGAUGACGGCCUUCGGGUUGUAAACCGCUUUCGCCUGUGACGAAGCGUGAGUGACGGUAAUGGGUAAAGAAGCACCGGCUAACUACGU
rnacentral:rRNA from 1 species